UCGAUUUGGAUAAACUUUUCCAACUGCGUAUUAUUCUGAAACCUAUGAACAGAAGAUAAUAAUAACUAACAUGGGAAUCAAGAAUAUGGACACCCCUACUAUUUCUAUGAAUAGAGUAAUAUAUAAAAAUUGUGUAUUUGCUCAUUUCUUCAGAUAAUUUGGACCAUUCCAAAAGAAAGAAGGAUAGCCUUAACAUAUUUGGAGUAUGAAAAAUUAAGUAUAAUAUUCUUGGAGAAGAUUGCACGUACACCUGUAGAACGGAAAGAACUGGAUUCGCUUUUGUUCUUGAAGCCAUUUGAACGAACUAGCUCCUGCUCUUUGAAGCACUAUGAAGAUUGAGCUUGUUCUUGACGUUAGAGUAUUUGAUCCAAGAGAGACAAUUUUUCUUGCCUUUUUUUAGGAAUGGCUCGAUGCUCAUUUUUCAAAUGGAAAUGGAGAUAGGAUUUCCAUUUUGACUUAAAGGUCAUUCUGCUUUUGUCCAAAUGAAUAUGGAAAACUAGACAUUUAUAAGUCUUGCUUGAUUUAAUAAUUCAAU
rnacentral:lncRNA from 1 species